UACGAAGGAUGCAAGCGUUACUCGGAAUUACUGGGCGUAAGCGUGCGUAGGUGGUUUGUUAAGUCUGUUGUGAAAGCCCCGGGCUCAACCUGGGAAUGGCAAUGGAUACUGGCAGGCUAGAGUGCGGUAGAGGGUAGUGGAAUUCCUGGUGUAGCGGUGAAAUGCGCAGAUAUCAGGAGGAACACCGAUGGCGAAGGCAGUGGGCUGGGCCGGCACUGACGCUGAGGAGCGAAAGCGUGGGGAGCGAACAGG
rnacentral:rRNA from 1 species